rnacentral:lncRNA from 1 species
GGAUUCUAUCCUCUCUAUAACCUAGAGUCUUCCAAGGCUACAACAGAAAAGAAGAAAAAGGAUAUAUAGAGUAAUGUGAGGAAACAAAAAUGAAUUUCAAUGCUUACACCUUGAAACCAUCAAGGAAAUGCGACGGCUUCUUGAGAUUUUGUUAACUGAUCAAUAAUUCAUGAACGUAACAUAUAGCAACCAGGGUGAAUUGUAUAUAUUCCA